rnacentral:rRNA from 1 species
GACGAACGCUGGCGGCGUGCUUAACACAUGCAAGUCGAACGGAAAGGCCCUGCUUUUGUGGGGUGCUCGAGUGGCGAACGGGUGAGUAACACGUGAGUAACCUGCCCUUUACUUUGGGAUAACUUCAGGAAACUGGGGCUAAUACCGGAUAGGAGCUCCUGCUGCAUGGUGGGGGUUGGAAAGUUUCGGUGGUUGGGGAUGGACUCGCGGCUUAUCAGCUUGUUGGUGGGGGAGUGGCUUACCAAGGCUUUGACGGGUAGCCGGCCUGAGAGGGUGACCGGCCACAUUGGGACUGAGAUACGGCCCAGACUGCUACGGGAGGCAGCAGGGGGGAAUAUGGCACAAUGGGCGGAAGCCUGAGGCAGCAACGCCGCGUGCGGGAUGACGGCUUUCGGGUUGGAAACCGCUGUCGCCUGUGACGAAGCGGGAGUGACGGUAAUGGGUAAAGAAGCACCGGCUAACUACGUG